CUAAAACUAGUCAUUUGUCAUUUUCUAAUUGGUUAUUAGUGUGUUCAAAUUCUCUAAAAAUCAAUUAGAAAAUGACAAAUUGCUAGUUUUGG
rnacentral:pre_miRNA from 1 species